rnacentral:rRNA from 1 species
AUGUCGGACAGUCUGAAGAAAAGUGCGUGGCAAGGAACGAUCUCCAAUGGCAAGGAGGUCAACCGCGGUGAACCAAUCAUGCAGUAUGUUGUGCACGAGUUUGGGGAACAACACAAUGGCCGAUAUGUUGACCCGGACGAACUACGACGACUUAGCAUUAAGCGCAAGCAAACAACAAGCAACCAAAAGAAGAAAAAAGCUUGGGUACAUGUGGGAUCUUCUCACAUCGCAUUAGUUACUGGUACUACCACGCUACUGCUGGCGCCUCCGAGCAAGCCAGGGACGAAGCCAAGAGAGAGCAGGCAUAAAGAGAAACCUCCAAGACAGCCGGCGAGCGAACCGAGGUGGUCAAAAGUCAAAGCGAACGUUUCUGCUGCUGGCGCUCCCGAGCAAUACAGGGACGGACGCCAGCCUGGGAGAGUGAGCGAGAAAUUGGUAACAAUGGAUCUAAGUGACAAACAGAUUCAGAUCCUCGAGAGGUUGAUCAAGCACCAUUCCUACAGCUUAUUUUUCGUGUCGUAUUUUCAUGGUGAUCCAUGGCGCACGGUAUUCAAGGUUUUCAUCUUCUUCUUCUUUUUUCAAAACUGCAGUGUUUUCAUGGAGUGCCCCAACCCCGAUGAGGCCCAGCGCGCUCAUCUCGGUCGUGAGCUUCGCGUGGAGCCCCAGCAUAUCAAACUCUGGUUCAAGAACUGCCGUGCCCAGAUGAGGAGGGCUAGGCACGAGCAGGUGGACAACCACUUAUCUGACUCGGAGAAUGAUGAGAUCGACUCGGAGAAUGACGAGAUCCACUAA